GAACUGAAGAGUUUGAUCAUGGCUCAGAUUGAACGCUGGCGGCAGGCCUAACACAUGCAAGUCGAGCGGAUGAAGGGAGCUUGCUCCUGGAUUCAGCGGCGGACGGGUGAGUAAUGCCUAGGAAUCUGCCUGGUAGUGGGGGAUAACGUCCGGAAACGGGCGCUAAUACCGCAUACGUCCUGAGGGAGAAAGUGGGGGAUCUUCGGACCUCACGCUAUCAGAUGAGCCUAGGUCGGAUUAGCUAGUUGGUGGGGUAAAGGCCUACCAAGGCGACGAUCCGUAACUGGUCUGAGAGGAUGAUCAGUCACACUGGAACUGAGACACGGUCCAGACUCCUACGGGAGGCAGCAGUGGGGAAUAUUGGACAAUGGGCGAAAGCCUGAUCCAGCCAUGCCGCGUGUGUGAAGAAGGUCUUCGGAUUGUAAAGCACUUUAAGUUGGGAGGAAGGGCAGUAAGUUAAUACCUUGCUGUUUUGACGUUACCAACAGAAUAAGCACCGGCUAACUUCGUGCCAGCAGCCGCGGUAAUACGAAGGGUGCAAGCGUUAAUCGGAAUUACUGGGCGUAAAGCGCGCGUAGGUGGUUCAGCAAGUUGGAUGUGAAAUCCCCGGGCUCAACCUGGGAACUGCAUCCAAAACUACUGAGCUAGAGUACGGUAGAGGGUGGUGGAAUUUCCUGUGUAGCGGUGAAAUGCGUAGAUAUAGGAAGGAACACCAGUGGCGAAGGCGACCACCUGGACUGAUACUGACACUGAGGUGCGAAAGCGUGGGGAGCAAACAGGAUUAGAUACCCUGGUAGUCCACGCCGUAAACGAUGUCGACUAGCCGUUGGGAUCCUUGAGAUCUUAGUGGCGCAGCUAACGCGAUAAGUCGACCUGGGGAGUACGGCCGCAAGGUUAAAA
rnacentral:rRNA from 1 species